GUAAAUAAUAGUGAACUGUUAUUCUUGAUUAUUCACAGGCUUUUCAAAUAACAGAAAAUAGGAGGGUUUUUCUAUAAAUUUGCCAUUGGCCUUAUCCCCAAUCGGAUGGACAGUGAAUGCGGUCGACGGUUGUUUGGUGCGGGAUUUCCGCCGCAGCCACCGCCGGAGGGGCCUGACCCGCCUCGGAUCGCCGCCCGUGAGGCGUGUCCGACAUACUCCGCCGCCAUCGUGGAAGGUGGGCUAGAGGGGCGCCUCUGGUGCUGCCUCCAGUGGCUGGUGAUGCUAGCCUUGUCAUUGCCGAGCGCCAACCCAGGGCUGAGCACCCCGAAGGAGCACCGUCGUGGCUCGAGGAGCCGCGUCGCCAGUACGAUCACCAGCCAUGGAUAAACCGCCGCCGGUCACUGCGCAGGCGGUUCGAAUCACCGAGCGGACGAAGUUGUCGCAGCCGGGCCAAGGCCGGUGUGGGAAGAACUCGCCACUGGAGUGGCAAGAUAGAUGCGGGCAGGCCUAGGCCAUUGCGCCGGUCUCGUAUGGCUGGGGCGCCGCCUACAGGAGAUGCGUCACCAGAUCCGGAUCCACGGCAUGGAUCGAUCGGGGACGGUGUGUGAAAGAGCGCCGUCUUUAGAUCCGGCGCUGGUCGAGGGCCGUGAGAGUGGGUUUGGCUGCUGCCGGUAGUGAAGGUCAGUUGGAGGACGCAAAGUGAAGAGGAGAUCGCGGUCAUGCAGGUGAUGUUCGUGUGAUCUUCUUUGUCGUCGUUAUGGUGCCUUGUGACACCGUAGAAGAAGAAGACGAAGGUUGAUGACACCGUAGUGCUGCUUCUUCUCUAUUCUGGCUUGGCGUGUGUUCCCUUCGAAUGAAGUGGUCGGCGCUUGCAUUGGAAAGGCAUUGUGUGCCUCUGUUGAUCGAGGCCAUCGUACCUUGCUUCUUGUCUGGCCGAUUAGUGGUAGAACAAAGUGACUGAUAACGUAUUGCACAUAAUUGUAGAGAGACAAAGAAGUAGAGAAUGAAAGUAAUGAACUCAUGUAUUGAUUCAUAAAGUGUUUACAUAUUUAUACAAGUUGAAUGGAUAUAAUGGAAGGAUAUGUCUAUUAGGAAAACAC